AUGCAGUAUAUACGGCGUAGAACAAACCAGUUGCCAGACUGUUUUCACGUGAGCGUAGACGAAUUUGUGUUUAUUUGGUUAGAAUAACGAUUAACCAUUGUCACGGAAAAAUCACAAAAAAUGUCCAAAGUGGCUAAAUGAGAAACAAAGCACCCGAGAAAAUUUAAAUCAUAGCAAAACAACUAUUAAGAGAAGCAAAAAAAAAAGUCUUUAUAUAUAUAUAAUGUUAAUAAUGUUAAACCUAUCUAUAAUUUUUCAUAGAGAACAAUUCAUUUGUAAGUAUUUCCUUUUAGUCACCUAAGCAGAAAAUAUAGAAUCCUCAUAAAUUGGCUGAUUAUCAACAUGGAAAAUGAAAUAUCUAUGACGACAAUAUGUGUAAGAAUCAUAUGGUUAUAACGAAUCUGAUGAAAUAUGCCCGAUGGGAAGAAAGUCAGAAACAAUGCAGAGAGCAAGAUUUAUUAUAGAAACACGUCAAGUUUUUGAGCGAUGGUUGGAAUGGGAACCUGACUAACAGAUAUGGCAAACAUAUAUUAAAUUUGAAUUACGAUAUAAAGAAAUACAAAGAGCAAGGUAGAGAUAUAUAAUUAUUUAGGGAGAUAUAUAGUUUUGUAAUAAAUGGAGGACACAAAGUUUAUGAAGAUGCUACAAACUUUUUCGGAGAUAAGAACUUAGAUGAAAAGCUAUUUAUAGCAUUUGCAAGAUUUGAAGAAGGACAGAGAGAACAUGAUAGAGCAAGAAUAAUUUCUAAGUAUGCUUUAAACAAUACUUCAAAAGAAAGAACAAAAGAAAUACAUAAUGCAUAUAUAUAAAUAAUAAAGAAGUCAAGGAAAAUCCUUCUAAUGAUGCUUGAUUUGACUAUCUGAAAUUAGUAAAAUCCGAAGGAAAUCAAUGUUGUAAGAGCGUAUGAACGAGCUAUAGCAAAUGUCCGUCCUACUAAGGAGGAGCAUGGAAACGAUAUAUCUAUUUGUAGAUAAGUUAUGCUUUGUACAAAGAAAUUGACAUGGAAGUUAUAAGUAGAUGUCAAAUUUCAGAUACAGUUUAUCUUAUAUAAAAUUAUUGUUAUAUAUGAAGAUAUAAAUUUAUAAUAUUUUAUUGUUACAUAUAAAAAUAAAACUUUAUAAUAUUUUUGUUAUUUUUCAGAAUCUGUUUAGAUCUUAUUCCAUAUUUCAAUAUUUCACAUUUUCUAAAAUAUAGCUUUGUUGAAAUACAACAAAAAAAUUUGACUAUGGUGAGAAAAACAUUGGUAUGGUAUUGGGUGUUUAUCCCAAAGAAAAAUUCUAUAGUGGUUACAAUGAUUUAGAGACACAAUCUAGAGAAUUUGACAGAUGCAGGAUUCUGUAUGAAAAAUUACUUGAAUUUCCACCUCAAAACUGCACAACGUGAAUGAAAGUAAACUACUUUUCUUAUAGUUACAUUUAUCUUAUGUUUUAUUGUACUUAUAUUUAUGUAAUUAUUAUAAUGUCUAUAUGUCUAUGAAAUAGAAAAUACUAGACAACUAUUUGAGAGAUUAUUAGAACGAAUUGUUCAUGUCAAAGUAAGCUUGAUUUCAU